rnacentral:rRNA from 1 species
UACGUAGGGUGCGAGCGUUGUCCGGAAUUAUUGGGCGUAAAGGGCUCGUAGGCGGUUUGUCGCGUCGGGAGUGAAAUCCCCAGGCUUAACCUGGGAACUGCAUCCGAUACUGGUCGGCUUGAAUCCGGGAGAGGGAUGCAGAAUUCCAGGUGUAGCGGUGAAAUGCGUAGAUAUCUGGAGGAAUACCGGUGGCGAAGGCGGCAUCCUGGACCGGCAUUGACGCUGAACAGCGAAAGCUAGGGGAGCAAACGGG